UGGGGCUGAUGGGCAGUCUUCCCGUGCCCGACGGCUCGCGCCCGCCGGUGGCCAGCCCGGCCAUGGAGUGCCUGUCCUCCGCCGCCCUGG
rnacentral:tRNA from 1 species